rnacentral:rRNA from 1 species
UACGAAGGGGGCUAGCGUUGUUCGGAUUUACUGGGCGUAAAGCGCACGUAGGCGGGUCGUUAAGUCAGGGGUGAAAUCCCGGAGCUCAACUCCGGAACUGCCUUUGAUACUGGCGACCUUGAGGCUGGAAGAGGUUAGUGGAAUUCCCAGUGUAGAGGUGAAAUUCGUAGAUAUUGGGAAGAACACCAGUGGCGAAGGCGGCUAACUGGUCCGGUACUGACGCUGAGACGCGAAAGCGUGGGAGCGAACAGG